GGGGGUGUACCGGUUUCGACUGGUACGAUUCGAGAUACAGGUUGCAGGUGGAGUGCCGAUCUCCUAACAUUCGGCAAAAAAUUUAAUUGCCGAUAACGACAAUUACAGCUACGCCUUAGCGGCAUAACUGCGUGGGACCGUUCCGCCGCCUUGAGGGGCGAAUCCCGCGACGCAAUCAGGGCUGGUUGUCCUUCGCGUUCAGAAGAAGGAUGAUAAGAAACUUCUGAAAUAAGGGCUGACCGCGCGUCGCGCAGCCAAGUCAGCCUCGAAAUCCAAUGCGCGGCUAAACCUGUAGAGGCUUGUGUGUCGCGUACUAGGACGCGGGUUCGACUCCCGCCACCUCCAA
rnacentral:tmRNA from 1 species